GUUACGUUGAAACUAAAUAUUACGAGUAUGACUAAAUAAAAAGCCGAAAUAAUGUAAAAAAAAAAAAUAAUAAUAAUGAAGGUACCGUGGAUUGGCAACACUUACAAUGUAAACAAACAGCUGAUCACGGGUCCGGAGCGAGGCAAGGAGAUAAAAAUAAUAAUAAACGAAGGAAAUAGAGCAAAUACUCGUAGAAGGACGACAGCAGGCAGAGAGGGGCAGGAGAAGUAGCAGAAUCAGGGAAAGGCGUAUUGGUGCCAGUAAAUAAGGUGGACUUGGAAUCUCUCAGGGGAAACUACAUGUAGUAAUUGAAUUAAAAUGGCUAGAACCAGAGGAUGGGGUUGUGCGUCCCCGGGAGUUCAGAGGGUGCCGGCGCUUCAACUGAUGGUGUGGACCCAUGAGACAGAGGCUCCACCAGGGUAACAGGGACGUGAGGGGUCUCCAGCAGCAUGCCUGAAGAUACUUGUGUGUGGACGAGGGACACACACUCAAGAACCACAAGUCCCUGAACACCUUUCCCCCCAUGAACUGGCUGCUGUUUACUGGGACACCCUUGCAGAACAGCCUGGCGGAGCUCUGGGCCCUUCUGAACUUCCUAAUGCUGGAUAUUUUUGGUUCAAUGUGAGUGAGAUGCAGGAGGGAAGUGAGGAGAGGACUCUGAGGCAGGAAUGGGAGGGCCAGGCCAUCUCCACUCUAAUGAAGAUAAGAGAGAGGGAAUGUGGGUGUGUUUGGGAGUGUUUUGGUGGCUUUGGGUAGGUUUGGGUGUGUUGUGGGAGUUUUUUAUGAUUAUUUAAAGAGGUUUUUUUGGGCUGGAGAGGAGUUUUUUUGGGCUGGAGAGGAGUUUUUUGGGCUGGAGAGGAGUUUUUUGGGCUGGAGAGGAGUUUUUUGGGCUGGAGAGGAGUUUUUUUGGGCUGGAGAGGAGUUUUUUGGGCUGGAGAGGAGUUUUUGGGCUGGAGAGGAGUUUUUUGGGCUGGAGAGGAGUUUUUUGGGCUGGAGAGGAGUUUUUUGGGCUGGAGAGAAUUUUUUUGGGUCUGGAGAGGAGCUUUUUGGGCUGGAGAGAAAUGUUUUGGGCUGGAGAGAAGGUUUUGUGGGCUGGAGGGAAGUUUUGUGGGCUGGAGGGAAGUUUUUGGGCUGGAGAGGAGUUUUUUGGGCUGGAGAGGAUCGUUUCAGGUCAGGUGGUUAAACACUACCGUCUAUCUAGUGGCUAUUGUAGGCUGUAUCUCUCUCUCUCUCUCUCUCUCUCUCUCUCUCUCUCUCUCUCUCUCUCUCUCUCUCUCUCUCUCUCUGGCUUACAUAACGCGCGUUUCUCAAGGCAGUGAGAGAGAGAGAGAGAGAGAGGAGGACCCGCUCACCCCCGUCCUCAGUCAACUCUCCUCUCUCUCUCUCUCUCUCUCUCUCUCUCUCUUGAAGAUGCAGGUCUAGAAGGCUUGUCCUACGCAUUCUUACACUCCCAUUUUGUUGUAUUGGUAUUUUGUUGUAUGCAUUCUUCCACUGGUCCUCCUGUUAAUAGCUGUCAUACGCAUUCUUAGACACCAUGUGAUUUGUAUUGGUGUUUUGUUGUGCGCAUUCUGGGGACUGACGAGCUAGUAAUUGUCGAGCGCAUUCUAAUUCCCCAUAUGAUUUGUGUUGAUAUUUUGCCGUACGCAUUUUGCCACUAAUAAGAAAUAAAAUAUAUAUAAUCUAACCUCUUACCGUACGCAUUCUCGGCAAUAAUGUAUCAGUGAAUAUAUGUUAUCUUGCCGUACGCAUUCCUCAGUAUUUAUAUUUUAUCUUA